CCUACGGGAGGCAGCAGUAGGGAAUCUUCCGCAAUGGGCGAAAGCCUGACGGAGCAACGCCGCGUGAGUGAUGAAGGGUUUCGGCUCGUAAAACUCUGUUAUUAGGGAAGAACAAAUGUGUAAGUAACUGUGCACAUCUUGACGGUACCUAAUCAGAAAGCCACGGCUAACUACGUGCCAGCAGCCGCGGUAAU
rnacentral:rRNA from 1 species